rnacentral:rRNA from 1 species
UACGAAGGGGGCUAGCGUUGUUCGGAAUUACUGGGCGUAAAGCGUGCGCAGGCGGCUUCUCAAGUCAGGGGUGAAAGCCCAGAGCUCAACUCUGGAAUUGCCUUUGAGACUGAGUGGCUUGAGUACGAGAGAGGUGAGUGGAAUUCCCAGUGUAGAGGUGAAAUUCGUAGGAUAUUGGGAAGAACACCGGUGGCGAAGGCGGCUCACCUGGCUCGUAACUGACGCUCAUGC